rnacentral:rRNA from 1 species
UACGUAGGGUGCGAGCGUUAAUCGGAUUUACUGGGCGUAAAGAGCGCGUAGGCGGUCGUCCAAGUCGCGUGUGAAAGCCCCCGGCUCAACUGGGGAGGGUCACGCGAUACUGGUCGACUCGAAGGCGGGAGAGGGUAGUGGAAUUCCCGGUGUAGUGGUGAAAUGCGUAGAUAUCGGGAGGAACACCAGUGGCGAAGGCGACUACCUGGCCUGUUAUUGACGCUGAGGCGCGAAAGCUAGGGGAGCAAACGGG